rnacentral:rRNA from 1 species
AUUGAACGCUGGCGGCAGGCCUAACACAUGCAAGUCGAGCGAGUGGCGGACGGGUGAGUAAUGUCUGGGAAAAUGCCUGAUGGAGGGGGAUAACUACUGGAAAAGGUAGCUAAUACCGCAUACCAUCAGAUGUGCCCAGAUGGGAUUAGCUAGUAGGUGGGGUAACGGCUCACCUAGGCGCCGAUCCCUAGCGGGUCUGAGAGGAUGUCCAGCCACACUGGAACUGGGACACGGUCCAGACUCCUACGGGAGGCAGCAGUGGGGAAUAUUGCACAAUGGGGGCAAGCCUGAUACAGCCAUGCCACGUGUGUGAAGAAGGCCUUCGGGUUGUAAAGCACUUUCAGCGGGGAGGCGUUACCCGCAGAAGAAGCACCGGCUAACUCCGUGCCAGCAGCCGCGGUAAUAC